rnacentral:rRNA from 1 species
GUUUGAUCCUGGCUCAGAGCGAACGCUGGCGGCAGGCUUAACACAUGCAAGUCGAACGGGCGUAGCAAUACGUCAGUGGCAGACGGGUGAGUAACACGUGGGAACGUACCUUUUGGUUCGGAACAACACAGGGAAACUUGUGCUAAUACCGGAUAAGCCCUUACGGGGAAAGAUUUAUCGCCGAAAGAUCGGCCCGCGUCUGAUUAGCUAGUUGGUGAGGUAAAGGCUCACCAAGGCGACGAUCAGUAGCUGGUCUGAGAGGAUGAUCAGCCACACUGGGACUGAGACACGGCCCAGACUCCUACGGGAGGCAGCAGUGGGGAAUAUUGGACAAUGGGCGCAAGCCUGAUCCAGCCAUGCCGCGUGAGUGAUGAAGGCCCUAGGGUUGUAAAAGGCUCUUUUGUUGCGGGAAGAUAAUGACGGUACCGCAAGAAUAAGCCCCGGCUAACUUCGUGCCAGCAGCCGCGGUAAUACGAAGGGGGCUAGCGUUGCUCGGAAUCACUGGCGUAAAGCGCACGUA